CCUACGGGUGGCAGCAGUGAGGAAUAUUGGUCAAUGGGCGCUAGCCUGAACCAGCCAAGCCGCGUGAGGGAAGAAUGUACAGCGUAUCGUAAACCUCUUUUGUCAGGGAACAAAGUCGGGGACUAAUACUCGUAUGCGGGUACCUUAAGAAUAAGCAUCGGCUAACUCCGUGCCAGCAGCCGCGGUAAUACGGAGGAUGCGAGCGUUAUCCGGAUUUAUUGGGUUUAAAGGGUGCGCAGGCGGCCGGUUAAGUCAGCGGUAAAAGGUGGGGGCUCAACCUAGGCGAGCCGUUGAAACUGGCGUGCUGGAGUUGGGUAGAGGUACGCGGAAUGCGCGGUGUAGCGGUGAAAUGCUUAGAUAUCGCGAAGAACCCCGAUUGCGAAGGCAGCGUACUGGCUCCAAACUGACGCUGAGGCACGAAAGCGUGGGUAUCGAACAGGAUUAGAUACCCUUGUAGUC
rnacentral:rRNA from 1 species